rnacentral:rRNA from 1 species
AGGUGCGAUCAUACCAGCACUAAUGCAUCGGAUCCCAUUAGAACUCCGCAGUUAAGGGAACUCGGGACAGAGUAGUACUAAGAUGGGUGACCUCCUGGGAAGUUCUCAUGUUGCACUUC